AUCGCUGGUUUACGGUUUUGGCGG
rnacentral:siRNA from 1 species